AGUGAACGCUGGCGGUAGGCCUAACACAUGCAAGUCGAACGGCAGCACAGGAAGAUCUUGCUCUUACGGUUGGCGAGGGGCGGACGGGUAAAGAAUACAUCGGUAUCUACUAUUUCGUGGGGAAUAACGGAAGGCAACUUACGCUAAUACCGCAUACUUCCUACGGGUGGAUGCAUGGGAUAUUCCGGCUUUGCGCGACUGUAUGAGCCGAUGCCGGAUUAGCUAGUUGGUUAGGUAAAGGCCCACCAAGGCGACGAUCCGUAGCUGGUCUGAGAGGAUGAUCAGCCACACUGGAACUGAGACACGGUCCAGACUCCUACGGGAGGCAGCAGUAGGGAAUCUUCGGCAAUGGGCGAAAGCCUGAUGCAGCAAUGCCGCGUGAGUGAAGAAGGCCUUCGGAUUGUAAAGCCCUGUUGUUAGGGAAGAACAACUGUGUAAGUAUCCAUGCCCGUCUUGACGGUACCUAAUCAGAAAGCCCCGGCUAACUACGUG
rnacentral:rRNA from 1 species